AAUGAACGCUGGCGGCGCGCCUAAUACAUGCAAGUCGAGCGAGAAGACGUAGCAAUACGUUUGUAAAGCGGCGAACGGGUGAGGAAUACAUGGGGUAACCUACCCUAGAGUGGGGAAUAACUAGCCGAAAGGUUAGCUGAUACCGCGUACGCUCCUUGGACUUCGGUUCAGGGAGGAAAGCGAUACCGAGGGUAUCGCGCUCUUGGAUGGGCUCAUGUCCUAUCAGCNGUUGGUGAGGUAACGGCUCACCAAGGCUUCGACGGGUAGCUGGUCUGAGAGGACGAUCAGCCACACUGGCACUGCGACACGGGCCAGACUCCUACGGGAGGCAGCAGUAAGGAAUAUUGCGCAAUGGGACGAAAGCCUGACGCAGCGACGCCGC
rnacentral:rRNA from 1 species